UGGGGAGGGGCUGGAACAGGUUCUC
rnacentral:piRNA from 1 species